GUCUAUGGCCAUACCACCCUGAACGCGCCUGAUCUCGUCUGAUCUCGGAAGCUAAGCAGGGUCGGGCCUGUUUAGUACUUGGAUGGGAGAAAUCUCCUGGGUCUUGUGAGACAAAGGCAGCUUCAGGAU
ensembl:rRNA 5S_rRNA 5S ribosomal RNA